CCUACGGGUGGCAGCAGUGGGGAAUAGUGGGCAAUGGGCGCAAGCCUGACCCAGCAACGCCGCGUGAAGGAAGAAGGCUUUCGGGUUGUAAACUUCUUGUGUCAGGGAAGAGGAGAAGACGGGACCGGACGAAUAAGCCACGGCUAACUACGGGCCAGCAGCCGCGGUAAUACGGAGGUGGCAAGCGGUGUCCGGAUUUACUGGGUGUACAGGGCGUGUAGCCGGGUUGACAAGUCAGAUGUGAAAUCCUGCGGCGUAACCGCAGAACGGCAUUUGAAACUGUUGAUCUUGAGUACUGGAGAGGCAGCCGGAAUUCCUCGUGUAGCGGUGACCUGCGUAGAUAUUAGGCGGAACACCAGUGGCGAAGGCGGUCUGCUGGACAGCACCUGACGGUGCGGCGCGAAAGCGUGGGGAGCAAACAGGAUUAGAUCCCCCAGUAGUC
rnacentral:rRNA from 1 species